GUGGGGAAUUUUGGACAAUGGGCGCAAGCCUGAUCCAGCAAUGUCGCGUGCAGGAAGAAGGCCUUCGGGUUGUAAACUGCUUUUGUACGGAACGAAAAGGCUCUGGUUAAUACCUGGGGCUCAUGACGGUACCGUAAGAAUAAGCACCGGCUAACUACGUGCCAGCAGCCGCGGUAAUACGUAGGGUGCAAGCGUUAAUCGGAAUUACUGGGCGUAAAGCGUGCGCAGGCGGUUUUGUAAGACAGACGUGAAAUCCCCGGGCUCAACCUGGGAAUGGCGUUUGUGACUGCAAAGCUGGAGUGCGGCAGAGGGGGAUGGAAUUCCGCGUGUAGCAGUGAAAUGCGUAGAUAUGCGGAGGAACACCGAUGGCGAAGGCAAUCCCCUGGGCCUGCACUGACGCUCAUGCACGAAAGCGUGGGGAGCAAACAGGAUUAGAUACCCCUGUAGUCC
rnacentral:rRNA from 1 species